rnacentral:rRNA from 1 species
GAUGAACGCUGGCGGCGUGCCUAACACAUGCAAGUCGAGCGGACGGACGAGACUCUCGCUUGGCUGCUGUUAGCGGCGGACGGGUGAGUAACACGUGGAUAACCUACCUAUGAGACUAAGAUAACUUCAGGGGACCGAAGAUAACAUCGGACGAUAUUUUGAACGGCAUGGUUCAACGGUGCAAAACCGUCUUGCUGACCCUAAUAGAUGUAUCCGCGCUGCAUUAGCUAGUUGGUAAGGUAACGGCUUACCAAGGCGACGAUGCGUAGCCGACCUGAGAGGGUGAUCGGUCACACUGGAACUGAGACACGGUCCAGACUCCUACGGGAGGCAGCAGUGGGGAAUCUUGCACAAUGGGCGAAAGCCUGACGGAGCAACGCCGCGUGUGUGAUGAAGGUCUUCGGAUCGUAAAGCUCUGUUAGUUGGGAAGAACAGAAGUGUGAUUAACUCUUCACAUCUUGACGUUACCAACACAGAAAGCAACGGCUAACUUCGUG